GUCCCUCAAGAGGUUGUAUACCCUGUCGCUGUCCCCAGCUCUCUGUGGAGAAAGUGAUCCUCCCCCUCUCCUUUAGGCCUGACCUAGUCAGCCCCCCAUGCUAGCCUCUUGCUACUGUAUUUUUCCCCGUUGGUCAACCCUGCCCACCCCUCUAUCAAUAGUACCUUCACUCCAUGCUUCUCAGUCACUCCAUUGGAGGGUGCCAUCUCUUCCCUGAUAGGUCCUUGACUUAUAGACUGAUCCUUUGCCUGACUUGGAGAGGCAGAGUGAUCUUUGCUGACCAGACAGGUGACCAAUACAGAUUAAGAGUUGAAGGCUCAGAAUCAGGGACAGAAGCUGUGGCUAUCAUCCAGAAGAUUCCGUCCAAGGUCAAUAGGCUCUUUAUGGUUUUUUGACCAGCUUUUGUCCAUUACAUGAGGAUCUCUGGCCAGGUUAUUGGCUCUAGCUGAUCAUUUUUGCUUGGAUUUUUUGGUGUGUGUGUCCUUAGUCUUAGAAUUUUUUGAAAAACAAGGCUCUUUGAAUAUCUUAUCUUGAAAGUAGGGCCCAAGUGUUUGUGAUGCAACCAACAUAGCACAUUCUGCAAUUGCUUUCUCCUGCCUGGAAUUUACUGUGAUCUGUCAUAUGACCUAUUUACGUAUGGUUCUUGUCUACUGUGUUAGAGUUCUGUAGAGAAAUGGAACCAAGCAGAUUUGUUGUAAGAAUUAUCUCAGGAUUGUGGAGGUGGAGGAGUCCCAUGAUCUGCUCCCUGCAAGCUGGAGGCCCAGGGUGGGAGUGGGGGGUAGGUUUCAGUCCAAGCACAGAGCAAGACCAAUGUCACAGCUCACAAUAACUUCUCCCUGGCACUAAGUGGUUACUAAGUAAACAGUUGUUGAGUGAAUGAGACUGGCUCAUGUCUCACUGAAUUUGAUGAGAACUUGAAACCUGGGAUGGUGCAUGGUCAGUGGGUUCAUGGCUAAGCUUAGGACUUAAGCUGGGACUUAAGCUGGGACUUAAACUGGAACUUAAACUGGGACUUAAGCUGGGACUUAAACUGGGACUCAAUCCCAGGAGGCUGUAUUAGCUAUCUAUUGCUGCAUAACAAAUAACCCCACACCUAAAAGCUUCAAACAACAUUUAUUAUGUCAUAGUUUCUAUGGAUGAGGAAUUCAGUCCAGCUUAGCUGGUUUCUCUGUUUAAGGCUUCUCAAGGUGUCAGCCAGGGCCAAAGUCAACUGGGGAAGAACCCAUUUUUAAGCUCAUAUAGUUGGAAGAAUUUCAUUUUUUAAAAGAUUUUAUUUAUUUAUUCAUGAGAGAGGCAGAGACACAGGCAGAGGGAGAAGCAGACUCCCUGGGGGGAGCCCGAUGUGGGACUUGAUCCCAGGACCCCGGAUCAUGACCUGAGCUGAAGGCAGAGGCUCAACCACUGAGCCACCCAGGUACCCCAAGAAUUUCAUUUCUUUAGGGUCAUUGGACUAAGGGCCUCUAGUCUUUGCUGGCUGUUGACUGGAGGCACCCUCAGGUCCUUGCCACCUGGGCCUUUCUACCAUGGCUGCAUGCUUCUUCAAUGUGUAUAAGCCAUGAAGGCCAUAAGGAGAGUCUACUAGUAAAAUGGAAAGUACCAUCACCUGGAAUUUAAAUACGGAAGUGGCAUCCCAUCAACUUUGUCACAUUUUGUUGAGUGAUGGGUACCAUCCAUACUCAAGAGGAGGGGAUUACUGAAAGGGGUGACUUACCAGGAGAUGGGGAUCAUGGGUGCCCUUCUUAACCUGCCUGUCACAGGUGGGUAUGAGCAGACUCUGGAGCCAGGCCACCAAAGUUCAAAUCCCGACUUGUCAUUUCUUUGCUCUGUGACCUUGGGAAAGUUACUUAGUCUCUUUGUGCUUCAGUUUCAACUUUUGAAAAGAUGAGGCAAAUAAUAGUAUCUGCUCCAUAGGAUUGUUGUGGGAACUAACUAAAAAUGUGAAAAUGCUUAGCACUAGGCCUGCACACAGAGAUUGCUAACUAGGGAUUAGCUGUUUUCCUGCUCCACUGGGGCAGGUGUGCAAUGGGGUCUCCAAAGGAAGGGGAGUCACAGCUACCCCGUGUUUCCUGUUUUUGUAGCAUUGUUCAAUCCAACCUUGAGUGUGUUCUUGCCAUGAUUUUUCCUGCUGGGAGGCUUUACUCCCAUUGUGAAGUCUUUUUGGUGUAUUUUUAGGCACAAACGGGUGGGGGGGGGGAGUUAAUCUGGGCUCUUAAAGGGCUAGCCCACUAGUAGGGGACUGGAUCACAAAGACUUCUGAUGGGCGUGGACACAAAGGCAUUGGUGGGGGGUCUGCUUGGUCUAGACAGGAGCCGUGAGGCAGCCAGGAGACAGAUAUGAACUUGACUCCGGGAGAAAAUUGCAGGGAGUCUCCGUUGCUUGAGGCAGAUUUUUUUUUUCUUCCCCUUUUCUUUUUCAGGGAAGUGGCUUGGGUUGAGCAUUGUCUGAACUAGAGAAUUCAGGAUCUAGCUUGCAGAGAAGCCUGUUGCUGAGGAGAGGGUGGCAUCAGGUUCCAUACAGUGACCUGGGACCUCCUGUUCUCCCUCCUUCCCAUUUAAAGCACCAAAAAGAGGUCAUACCUGGUCAGGAUAAAACAGCAGAGCGUUGGGGCACCUGGGUGGCUCAAUGGAUUAAGUGUCUGCCUCCGGCUCAGGUCAUGAUCUCAGGGUCCUGGGAUCGAGUCCUGCGUUGGGCUCCGCUGCUCAGCGCGGAGUCUG
rnacentral:lncRNA from 1 species